rnacentral:rRNA from 1 species
UACGGGGGGAGCAAGCGUUGUUCGGAAUCACUGGGCGUAAAGGGCGCGUAGGCGGUGAGGUAAGUGAGAUGUGAAAUCCUCCGGCUCACCCGGAGACACGCAUCUCAUACUGCCAUGCUAGAGUGCAGCAGAGGAAACGGGAAUUCCUGGUGUAGCGGUGAAAUGCGUAGAUAUCAGGAGGAACACCGGUGGCGAAGGCGCGUUUCUGGGCUGCUACUGACGCUGAUGCGCGAAAGCUGGGGGAG